rnacentral:lncRNA from 1 species
CUGCAGCCAUGGCGCCAAGUACUUAACAUCUAUUGCUGAUCCGUUUUUUCUGGUAUGAAAACUCUACUCUGUUCUGUAUAUAUUUUAUUUGCCUUGUUUUGUCUCUCUAAGGUAUAGAUGAAGACUUUGGAAAAUUAAAUGAAAUUACUUAAUUUAACUAAAAAAGUCUGUCCUGUUUAAUUAUACAAUAUAACUUGUUGUUUGUUUGUUUGUUGCACCCAUUGAUGGAAAAAAGACAGAAAAAUGGAAAUUGAACAUUUGAUCAGUCACAAGCAUCCACUGAUGUUCAAGGAAGAGCAGAAAGAAAAACAUGGUGGGCUGGCUUUUUGCUCAGGGUGUGCAGAGAACCUGUGAUUGGCCCUAGCUACUGCUGCACCAAAUACCCGGAAUGCGACUUCCUUGUCCAUAAAUCUGUUGGAAUUAAUGCACUUCCUUCAUUUUCUAGAAUAUCUCUAUUUAUUGCAGCAGUUGUAGCUAUCUUUAAUUAAUUUGGUGGAGUUUCUAUGCAAUGUCUUUUAGGUUCUCUAGGAAGUAUUCUCUAGAAUAUUCCUUCUCUUUUUAAAAAGCCUUUGAGCUUAUCAUUGUAAAUAGAAGCUAAGUGAAUCAGAAUACAAAGAGCUCUGCUGAAGCAACUCAUAUUUCCAGCACCUCAUAUUCGUUCGAUCAUAUCUGGGCGUUGAAAUCAAUUCUAGAAGAUGUCAUCAGGAGCCAAAGAAGGUCCAUCACUUUCCUACUCUAUUCUCCCAAUCUUUGGAGGUGGAAAUUAUGAUUUCUGGAAGGUGAAGAUGAGACUGUUGUCACAANNNNNNNNNNUAAUUUCUGGAAGGUGAAGAUGAGAACUAUACUGUUGUCAGAAGGUCUUUGGAGCUUCGUUGAAAGAGGGCUUCAAGAACCAGAGGAUCUAAGUCAGCUUCCAGCAGCAGAAAUAGAGAAGUUCGAAGCAGAAGUCAUGAAAGAUGCCAAGGCUCUCUCCAAGAUUCAGAACGGAGUCACUUCAGAC